rnacentral:misc_RNA from 1 species
GUGAAUCAUCAAAUUUUUGAACGCAAAUUGCACUCUCUGCGGAUAGGAUGCCUGUUUGAGGGUCAGUAUUAAUAAAAAUCGGUGUGUUGCUUCUUUGUGACGCUCCGGAGUUUUGGUCAUCUUAAUAUCCUUUAGGUUUGAAGAGUCUUAAAAUUGACUUUUUUUGUGCAUUUUAGAUGAACAUAAAUUCUUUUAUUUAUUCGUCUGUCUUAAUGCUCAUAAUCCGAUGAGAUGUGAC